GGCCUCGCGUGCAGCUUGCAUGCCUGCAGGUCGACGAUUAGAGUUUGAUCCUGGCUCAGAUUGAACGCUGGCGGCAGGCCUAACACAUGCAAGUCGAGCGGUAGAGAGAAGCUUGCUUUUCUUGAGAGCGGCGGACGGGUGAGUAAUGCCUAGGAAUCUGCCUAGUGGUGGGGGAUAACGUUCGGAAACGGACGCUAAUACCGCAUACGUCCUACGGGAGAAAGCGGGGGACCUUCGGGCCUCGCGCCAUUAGAUGAGCCUAGGUCGGAUUAGCUAGUUGGUGAGGUAAUGGCUCACCAAGGCGACGAUCCGUAACUGGUCUGAGAGGAUGAUCAGUCACACUGGAACUGAGACACGGUCCAGACUCCUACGGGAGGCAGCAGUGGGGAAUAUUGGACAAUGGGCGAAAGCCUGAUCCAGCCAUGCCGCGUGUGUGAAGAAGGUCUUCGGAUUGUAAAGCACUUUAAGUUGGGAGGAAGGGUAGUAACUUAAUACGUUGCUACUUUGACGUUACCGACAGAAUAAGCACCGGCUAACUUCGUGCCAGCAGCCGCGGUAAUACGAAGGGUGCAAGCGUUAAUCGGAAUUACUGGGCGUAAAGCGCGCGUAGGUGGUUCAGUAAGUUGGAAGUGAAAUCCCCGGGCUCAACCUGGGAACUGCUUUCAAAACUGCUGAGCUAGAGUACGGUAGAGGGUGGUGGAAUUUCCUGUGUAGCGGUGAAAUGCGUAGAUAUAGGAAGGAACACCAGUGGCGAAGGCGACCACCUGGACUGAUACUGACACUGAGGUGCGAAAGCGUGGGGAGCAAACAGGAUUAGAUACCCUGGUAGUCCACGCCGUAAACGAUGUCAACUAGCCGUUGGGAGUCUUGAACUCUUAGUGGCGCAGCUAACGCAUUAAGUUGACCGCCUGGGGAGUACGGCCGCAAGGUUAAAACUCAAAUGAAUUGACGGAAUCUCUAGAGGAUCCCCGGGUACCGAGCUCGAAU
rnacentral:rRNA from 1 species